rnacentral:rRNA from 1 species
UUUGAUGGCGACCGGCGCACGGGUGAGUAACACGUAUCCAACCUGCCGAUGACUCGGGGAUAGCCUUUCGAAAGAAAGAUUAAUACCCGAUGGCAUAGUUCUUCCGCAUGGUGGAACUAUUAAAGAAUUUCGGUCAUCGAUGGGGAUGCGUUCCAUUAGUUUGUUGGCGGGGUAACGGCCCACCAAGACUACGAUGGAUAGGGGUUCUGAGAGGAAGGUCCCCCACAUUGGAACUGAGACACGGUCCAAACUCCUACGGGAGGCCAGCAUG